ACAGCGUAGUCCGUGAACCGGUGUCCCGUAGCGACUUCGUCGUGACUGCCUCAGAGAACGUCUAGUACUGCCUUUGCUUGAUUGACGGACGUCGAGGGCGAAACAGAGCGAAGGUGCUGCAAUGCGCUGCCUUGCCACAAGAGCAACACGGUAGGAUGACUAAAGGACGCAACACUUCUGGACGGGAAUUACAUGUUCAAGAAUUGUUUUGAAAUGUACAAGGAAGAUAUUGGCAUUCUCCUUCCGCCAUCAGCUGUUCAACAUCUGCGAGCUGCAAAGGCUCUCCUGUAUGACAAGGAAGCAGUAUAC